CAUUCGUUACUUGCGUGUGCCCCUCUAUACGCCGUGCAGUCUAUGUUCAGUUAGGUGUCAUGGCGUCUUCCCAUGUUGUAGUUGACCUGUCGUUUACUUAAUUCUAUUUGUGCUUCGAUAUUUAAGUUGUCUAUUCUUGUUGUUUACAUUGUAGAUUUUUAAUAUUAGUGAUUGCAUUGUUUAACAUUUAUUGAACGGUCCGUCACCUUGUACUAUGUACUAAUUUUGUAUUGAUUUCAGGUAAAGUAUAUUUGGAUUUUAUUUGGUUGAACGAUGACACUCCCGAUGAGAGAAGAAAUGUAUCUCGCCCGUUACAUUAUAAAUAGCUAUUUUCGUAAGGUAAGCUAAUUAGUUUGUAUACAUGAUUUUUUCCCUUUGCAUGCUGUAGGCUUAUUAAGCGCUCCUCCAGAAAUGAGGCAGACUUCCUUGUACGUAACAGGUAUGUGUUGUAUUUUUGAAUGGUUUUCAUUUAUUAAUUUAUUGUGUUUCGUUUGUAGCAUGCUAUCAUCUAAUAUGGACGACGGUAUACUAUUAACUGUAAAUUUGCACCGGACCAUGGGAUAAAUCAUCUAGUUACGCUCCCCAAGGAUGUUAUUGAAAAGAGCAUAUCGCAUUAUACAAGAGCAAGGUGCAAUUUUGUCCGAUUCCGAUUCUGCGAGUGCAAGGUGUAACUGUGGCAAGAAGAAGAAGGCAAGCUGAAGAUAAAAAUAAUGUAUAUAAAAAAUGUUUCCAAUGUAUACAAUAAAAUGUAAUGUGCUUUUCUAUGGUUGAUUAGAAAAAAGGAUUUUCAUUUACAGUUAAAAUAUAAUGUUUGUAAUAAAAUUGUAUCUGUUGAAAGGAAUUAUAUCAUGUUUGAUACGAUUUGAAUACUUUACAAGCUUAGAAAGUAAUUUUCAGAACAACUAAUGUAUAUGAAUUGUAUAUAAGUGUGAGGUCGAAAUACGUGAGAGUUAUGUUAACUGUUGGUUUAUUUAUAGUCCGGUGAAUACUAAUAAAAAUGUGUGAGGUAGAAUAAUUGUUUGAGAUAGAUUAGUAAUGUAAAAUAAAUGUUUAUAAAAUAUAAAGCAAAUAUCGAUAGGAUAUAAAAUAGA